rnacentral:lncRNA from 1 species
AAAUGGAGUAAUUUUAUAUUUCAUAAAGAAGCACAUGGAGGGGAGGCAGAGUCAAGAUGGUGGCCUAGAAGGAGCAAAAGUUCAGACCUCUGAAUACUCUUCCUUUUUUUUUCUUUCCUUCAUUUCUUUUUUGGGGCCCAGUUUGGGCAAAUGGAUGCCAACUGCCUGGGUACAGGUUGCAACAGAGAAGCCAGUCUUGUGUUCAAGCCCCUGGUUGGGGGCCUCCCCCUCCUAUGGGGUGGACUCUGGGGCCCAGAAGGAUCCGGCAGCCACGGCUCCUGCAGGGCUGCUGGGAGCUGCCUCCUUCUCCUGGCCUCAGGCUGGGAUGUGGAGACAUAUGGUCACCCCCUUGGGGGUCGGGGCACCGCACACCCGGGGGGGGGGGGUGGCUGCUCACAGGUCCCUGUCCCUGGCCCACUCCUCCUGUGGUGGAGAAAGGCCUUUGCUGCUGCUGCCCGCAGCUCACUCUGCCUCGCUCCUGCUCUCCUGCUUCUGCCACCUGAUCUCCUUGUAGCGGAGGGUGAUGUCCCGGAGGAAGAAGCACCAGACAGUCCAGGUGAGGAUGAGCAUGGUGCCCAGGAUCCAGCACUGCGCCAUGUAGAAGGGCAGUGGCAGAUUCAGCAUGUAUGGGUCAUACUUGACCACGAUCAGGAACUCGGUGGCCAUGAUGGCCUCCACCAGCCACGCCUGCUGGCCAAACUUCUUGUGGAAUUUUGGGUCAUCCAUGAAGUUGUAGAUCUUGCGCAUGGCCAUGCCGCCCAUGUUCAUGAAGAAAACAAGGCACAGGAGGACGAGGUAAUUCUCGGGGGGCAUCCACAACACCAAAUUCAGGUAGAAGGUGUUGAGCUCCACCAGGAGAAACACCAGGAUGAUGCUGUAGACACCCAGCCAGCGGCACAGGCUGGAGGCCGGCUUCCACUCAAAGUGCACCCAGCUAUACGGUGUGAACUGGAAGGUGAUCCACUUCAUCUUGCCCUUGUAGGUGGGGAUGUUCCACAGCCCUUGCCACUUGUACAUCUUCAGAGAGAGCCAGCCCAGGGUCUUCAUGCUGCAGUAGAGGGUGUACCCUGUGGGCGGGGCUGUGCCAAGUUCAGAGAGUUCAACACAGAUGGCAGGGAAGAAGCUAGA